rnacentral:lncRNA from 1 species
UCGCCGUGUCUUCCGCAGACGACGACGCGUACAUCCCGAACGCCUCCCUCAGGCACCUUCGCUUCACGUCGGCAUCGUCCUCUUCCUGGGCACCGCCGGCUGCCAGCCUUGAGAACUCUUCUUGGUUUAGCAGCCCGUCGCCGUCGGCGUCCGCCGCCGCAAGGACCGACGCAGCCUCCUCCUCGGACACGUCCUCGCCCAGCGUCGCCUCCACGCAGCGCCGCAGCUCGGACACGGACACCUUGCCGUCGCCAUCCUCGUCGAAGGCCGCGAACACCGACGGCACCACCAUGAUCGAGUGCGAUCUUUCUUCCUUUUCACCAAAUGUUGCUGAUGACUAGCUAGUUGAUUGGGAGCUGGUAACUUGAUUUGCAGUACGUAUGCCUUGAAAGCAAGCAGUUGAUGAUCAUAUGGCGCGUGGGGCAGGGUAUAUAUAUACGCGUGCGAACAGAAGACAAGUUGUUGGCAUCGAUGUACGUGACAGCAACGAUGCCCUGUAGUUUCCGCGUCAUUUUUGUGUAGUGCACAAGCACACGUGAAAUUUGGUAUAUAUAUAUAUAUAUCGAUCAUCCGCGUUUAAUUUGUACGCGUACAAGUCCCUUCGAAGUCGAUGCUAUACAUAUGGCGCAUGCGUCGGCGUCGACCUCAAUUCCUUGCGUCAAUUAGUUAACCACCGCGCGCGAAAUCAUGUUUUAUAUCCAAGGGUGCAAAUAGUCAAAUGUUAAUGACAGCACGUGGAUUGAUGGAUAUGAGAUGGCGAUAAUGAAGCUCGCUCGGCAGCGCGGAUGUCGACGGCCGGCCGGCCAGCACAGACGCGAUGGAAAACAGCAGUCGAGGGUAAGGCUUGAUUGGAGAAGAAUUAGGCAGGGCCCCCCACCCGGUGAAAUUCUUGACGGCCUCGCAAGAAAUCAGAUGGGAUGUCAUGCAUAUGCACAUAGCACGUCAGCUCAUACUAGUACUACAUAGUUCGAUGGAGGUAUUUCCUAUUCAAACUGGUCAAACCCCCUUUGUUUCUCGCUAAUUUUUGAAAUAAUACAUUUUUUAUAAAAUUUGUAAAAUAUUGCGUAGGUUUAAAAAAAAAUUAAAUUAACACACCAUCGGUUACGUGAAGGCCGAUUGGAUAUAUACUCAGCUUAGCCGAAGCCAAUAGGAGCUAAUCGGUCACAUGGCGGCCAAUAAGUGGCCACUCGGCCACGCGGCAGCCGAUGGCUGGCCCAAACGCGUCACUCGGUUUGGGCUCCUUGAGUCGGCCAAGGCAAAGCCGACAACCCAGUCGCCCACUGCUAGGGCGAUAGGAGGCCAGCCAGCCACGGGCGUCCCCUUCUUCAUUCUUCCUCCACUGUUCCUCCUUUCCCCUCAUUCCUUCUCUUUCUACAAAAAAAUACCUCGAAUUCUCUAGGGUAUUUGAACUGAUUUCUUUCCCGUUUUCCAUCGUAGUUUGAUUCUAGAGGGUCAGGGGAUACAAGGGAACCCUCGAUCUUUUGAUGGGGUAACUCGUGAUGGUGAUGGUAACCAUUUUGGUGGAGGUGGUUGAGGUGGUGGUGGUGUAGGUGGAGGUGGAUGUGCUGGUGGCGGAGGUGGUGUUGGAGGUGGAGGUGGUGGUGGUGGUGGUGGCUCUUGCGUUCGUCGUUCUUCCAUCGGUGUUCGUCAUUUCUCCCUUGUCAUUCGUCGUUUUUCGCAUGCUUCAAGGGUAUGAUUUAACGUCCGUUCUCGUAAUAUUUAGUUGUGUAAAUAUUUAUAGUUGCUUUGUUAGUAUAUGUAGAUGUUAAAUAUUUAGUUGCUCUGGUAGCUUGGGGUAAUAUGUUUAGUUGUAUUGAUGUUGAUUCGGUAAAUAUCUUUAAUUCUACCUUCAGCUCAAUAUUUGUCCAUGUUUCAUAAAUUUUUAGGCAUGCACAGAUGUGAGAGGUAGUGAAGUUAGUUUUCUAUUACGGUUGUGGUACUAUGAGAACAAAUCAGAAUUGUGUUGAUCUGAGCGAAUUUCAGUACAUUGAGGUGCCAAUGACUACCCCUGAAACAUGGUAUGUUAUUCAGUUGACAGAAUGGCUGACUGGAUAUUUAGGGUUAAUGUUGAGACACACACCAUGGGUGUCCAUACAUUAUGGACCCGGUCCAGUUCAAAUAUUUUUUCUAUUUGAAGAAAAUAGAGCGGGACUCUCAGUGGGUGUGUCAGUUACAAGGUUGCAAGAGCAGGGAUGUAGUCCUCUCGUCUUAGUGCUCUCGUCAUGAAGCAGAGUAGUGCACCUGAAGCUGAGUGUGGAUAUGAUUAUGCCCCGAGAAGUGACAGGAUGCAUGAUUCAAUGUCAAAUUAUGUGUCUCAUCCUGGAGAUGAUGAUUACGAAUCAGGGCAGAGCAGUCAGGCAGAAGGAGGAAAUGUUGAUGAUUAUGUCAGUGGGGAGACAGAUACUGAUGAUUAUUUCAGUGGGGAGACGGAUGCUGAUGAUUAUGUCAGUGGGGAGGCAUAUGCUUAUGAGAUAGAUGGGCACAUGCAGAACCAGAUGGAGGAUGAAGAUAGAGAUGGUGAUAUUGCUGACGAUUCGGACGAGUCGGACGAAGAAGAGAAUGCAUAGGAGGUGUCUAAUCCUGCAUGAUGGAAUCAGGACUACUCAGCUGCAAUGACCAUGAAUGAUGGUCAUGAUUCUCCCUCGCAAUAUCACCAGAACAACAUUGCGAAAGGUGCCAUGUAUCAAAAAAAGCAAACUGUGAAGGAUGCAAUCGUUGGUUGGGAAAUGUCCACGCAAAGGGUUUUUAUAGCUGAUGUGUCAAGUCCGAAAUACUUCACAAUGAUAUGCAAGAACUCGGGUUGUCCUGCGAGGGUGCAUGGCUAUCUACCUAAGUGUCGCACAAGCUGGGUGAUCAGUGACUUAGUUAAUCACACUCAGGACCAUCCUGACCUUACAUCCAAGCUCAUUGCUUGGUUGCUUUACAUCGAGAUAGUGGAGAGAAAAGUGAUGGAAGUGAAGGCUAUCCAGACAAAAGUCUUCGUUUGGUUCAAGUACUUUUCUUUCGGUGCCUGCAUCGAAGCUUGUUGACAUUGUCGACCAAUGAUAUGUGUAGAUGGCGCUUUUUGCACUGGCAAGUGCAAGGGUCAGAUCCUCAUUGUCAUUGCUCAAGAUGGCCAAAAUCAAGUCGUCCCACUGGCAUUAGCUUUUGUGAAAAGCGUGAACCUUGAAAGUUGGGCAUGGUUCUUCAGGAAGUUGAAAACAACAGUUGUGCAGAAUAAACCGAAUGUGUGCAUCUUUUAUGAAAGGCAUGCAGGUAUACUUAGUGCGAUAAAAACACACUCAAAUCUUGGUCCUGAUAAACAAACGCCAUGGCAGGACUUGCAGAGCCCUUGGUGCAUGCGCCACCUUGGGGCCAAUUUUUUCUCGCAGUUCAGAAAUAAGAACCUCAAAUCUAAUUAAGAAACUCUACAAGCAGAACGAACUAUGGAAGUAUGAUUUAUGAGGAGAUAGUGCAUCAGCGGCUUAUGAGGCAAUUUGUUCUUCGACAGAUGGUCCAACCCACCCCCUACAGAGAACCUGCUGCAAGCAGUAGUCCACAGGUAUUUUAUACUUAUUGAAUAUUACAGUGUCUUUUACUAUUGUUUACUGUGAAGCACCGAUUAAUUCUUAAAGACACACCUCAGUUGGAGGAUCACAAGGAAGGGGACAAGCACGACACGGGCUAAGUGGCUCCAGAGGCUUCAGCAGUACGUUACAGUCUGGGAUUCUGGGGCUCAACGUCUCUGGCAUGAGGAUGUCGAAUUUGAUCCCAGUGGAUACAAUGCCUAUUUGGAUCGGUAUAUGAGAGGGACAUGGUUACACAUCAUUCAUCACUCUAAUGUAGAUGAGGUACCGAACACUGUUACGUCGGAUACAUACCCGAGCUAUGAUACUUAGGGCUCUAGGCGGUACGCGGUAACAUCUAUCUAUUAUCUUUAUGUAAUGCAUCUUGCUGUUACAUACUUUAUCGUCCAUACUUAAUAAUCAUUGUGACAAUUUCAGGCUGAAUUGGCAUACAAUCUUCAUAGUGACGUGAUGAACUAUGGACGACAACUGUCGUCUCGACCUAUUCUGUUACCUAGGUUUCAGCUCCAGCCAUGGUUCAUUCGCAUGGAGCAUAAGAUAUGAGAUGUCUAUACACUACAGGAAUUAGCUUCUUUGUCGUCCUCCAUCACAGACGGCAAAGAGUAUAUCACUGAUGGCAAAGAAUCUCACUGUCGGCAAAAUUUGUGCGUCAGCCUACGACGACAUUGUAGCUUCUUUGUCGUCUGCCUCACCGAAGCGGACGGCAAAGAACUUUGCCGUCAUCUUUCCAUGAGAGCAGUCGGCAAAUAUGUCGAGACGGGAGCCAGCAGGCGUUGCCUCCGUUAGGGGCUAACGGAGGCUUUGCCGUCUGCCUCCCCCUCUUCUGUGUCGUCUGCCUCCCCCCUCUUCUUUGCCGUCUGCCUCCCCCUCCUCCUCCCCCUCCUCUGUGCCGUCUGCCUCCCCCCUCUUCUUUGUCGUCUGCCUCUCCCCUCUUCUUUGCCGUCUGCCUCCCCAUCUUCUUUGCCGUCAGCCUCCACCUCGUCCUCUCCCCUCCUCUGUGCCCUCUUCUUUGCCGUCUGCCCCCCUGGAAGCAGACGACAAAUAUACUAUAUGGCCAGCUGCUGCUGCCCAGGUUGCACAGCUGGGCGCCACGUGGCACCUUUGCCGUCGGUCAGCUGAUGGCAAAGGCCUUUGCCAUCAGCUGGCAGACGGCAAAGAGCCUAUAUUGUCACAUUUUUGUUUAUUUUUUCUAUUUCAUAGCACAUAUAUAUAAUUCAUAGCACAUAUAUGAUAAAUAGGUCACAACACAUAUAUGAUAUUCAUAUAAAGCUCAUCAAUGCCAUUUGUUCAUCAAUGUACAUCCCAUAUAUCAAAAGAACCAACACAUACAAAGUUUCAUCCAUAUAUACAUACAUAUAGUUGCACAUAUAUUGUUCAUCCAUAUAUACAUAUACAUAUAGUUCCACAUUGUUCAUCAACUCAAAUAAAAACGGGAAUUAAAGCACUCCAAUGCCAGCUUCCAUGCAUGCCAAUCUGCAAAAUGGGAAUAAGAAAGUCAGAAGAAGAAGAACAACAACAUAUAUAUGACAAAUAAGCUAAAUUGAAGAAGAAAGAGAAGAAACAAGAAGAGAACAAGGAGAAGAAAAAUAAGAAGGAGGAGGAGGAGGAGGGGAAGGACAAGGAGGAGGAGAAGAAGAAAAAAGAAGAAGAGAAGAAAAAGGAGAAGAAGGAGGAGAAGAAGGAGGAGAGAAGAAGAAGGAGGGCUCCUUCUCCUUCUUCUCCUCCUUCUCCUUCUUCUUCUCUUCUUCUCCUCCUCCUCCUUCUUCUUCUCCUUCUCCUUCUCCUUCUCUUCUUCUUCUUCUUCUUCCUUCUUUUCAUUUCUCCUCUUCUCCUCUUCUUGGAGCUAAAUUAGCUAACUAUGUCUUUUUGCAGCUAAAUGGACUAAUUAUGUCAUUCUAGAGGAAAAUAAGCUAAGUAUAUAAUAUUAAUGAGCUAACCAAGGUUCUUAUGCCAUUUUGAGCUUAUUAUGUCUUUUAGGAGCUUAAUUAGUCAUUUUAUUAGGCUAACCAAGGUUCUUAUGAUGUUUUUACCUAACUAAGCUAAUUAUGUCAUUUGGAUGAAAAUUGGCUAAGUAUGUCUUUGUUGGGGAAAAUAAGCUAAAUUGAAGAAGAAGAGGAGAAGAAGAGAAGAAGGAGAAGGAGGAGAAGGAGCCUGCUCCUUCUCCUCCUUCUCCUUCUUCUCUUCUUCUUCUCCUCCUCCUUCUUCUCCUUCUCCUUCUCUUCUCUUUCUCUUCUUCUUUUUGUUCUUCCUUUUCAUUUCUCCUCUUCUCCUAAUCUUGGAGCUAAAUUAGCUAACUAUGUCUUUUUGGAGCUAAAUGGGCUAAUUAUGUCAUUAUAGAGGAAAACAAGCUAAGUAUAUAAUAUUAAUGAGCUAACCAAGGUUCUUAUGCCAUUUUGAGCUUAUAAUGUCAUUUUGGAGCUAAAUUGGCUAAUUAUGUCAUUGUUGGGGAAAUUAAAGCAAGGAGAAUAUGAAAGAGGAGAAGAAAGAGGAGGAGGAGAAUAAGAAGAAGAAAUAAAGAAGGAGGAGGAGGANNNNNNNNNNNNNNNNNNNNNNNNNNNNNNNNNNNNNNNNNNNNNNNNNNNNNNNNNNNNNNNNNNNNNNNNNNNNNNNNNNNNNNNNNNNNNNNNNNNNNNNNNNNNNNNNNNNNNNNNNNNNNNNNNNNNNNNNNNNNNNNNNNNNNNNNNNNNNNNNNNNNNNNNNNNNNNNNNNNNNNNNNNNNNNNNNNNNNNNNNNNNNNNNNNNNNNNNNNNNNNNNNNNNNNNNNNNNNNNNNNNNNNNNNNNNNNNNNNNNNNNNNNNNNNNNNNNNNNNNNNNNNNNNNNNNNNNNNNNNNNNNNNNNNNNNNNNNNNNNNNNNNNNNNNNNNNNNNNNNNNNNNNNNNNNNNNNNNNNNNNNNNNNNNNNNNNNNNNNNNNNNNNNNNNNNNNNNNNNNNNAUUUUGGAGCUAAAUGGACUAAUUAUGUCAUUGUUGGGGAAAUUAAGGCAAGGAGAAUAUGAAAGAGGAGGAUAAAUAGGAGGAGGAGGAGAAGAAGAAGAAAUAAAGAAGAAUGAGGAGAAGGAGGAGGAGGAGNNNNNNNNNNNNNNNNNNNNNNNNNNNNNNNNNNNNNNNNNNNNNNNNNNNNNNNNNNNNNNNNNNNNNNNNNNNNNNNNNNNNNNNNNNNNNNNNNNNNNNNNNNNNNNNNNNNNNNNNNNNNNNNNNNNNNNNNNNNNNNNNNNNNNNNNNNNNNNNNNNNNNNNNNNNNNNNNNNNNNNNNNNNNUCCUUCUCCUUCUUCUCCUCCUCCUUCUUCUCCUUCUCCUUCUCUUCUCUUUCUCUUCUUAUUUUUUUUCUUCCUUUUCAUUUGUCCUCUUCUCCUCUUCUUGGAGCUAAAUUAGCUAACUAUGUCUUUGUGGAGCUAAAUGGGCUAAUUAUGUCAUUGUAGAGGAAAACAAGCUAAGUAUAUAAUAUUAAUGAGCUACCAAGGUUCUUAUGCCAUUUUGAGCUUAUAAUGUCUUUUUGGAGCUAAAUGGGAUAAUUAUGUCAUUGUUGGGGAAAUUAAGGCAAGGAGAAUAUGAAAGAGGAGAAGAAAGAGGAGGAGGAGGAGAAGAAAAAGAAGAAAUAAAGAAGGAGGAGAAGGACUAGAAGGUCCUUGGCCUUCUCCUCCUCCUCCUCCUCCUCCUUCUUCUCUUCUUCUUCUUCUUCUUCUUCUUUCUUUUCAUUUUUCCUAUUUCUUCUCCUCUUCUCCUCUUCUUGGAGCUAAAUUUGCUAACUAUGUCUUUUUGGAGCUAAAUGGGCUAAUUAUCCCAUUUUAGAGGAAAACAAGCUAAGUAUAUAAUAUUAAUGAGCUAACCAAGGUUCUUAUGCCAUUUUGAGGUUAUUAUGGCAUUUUGGAGCUAAAUGGGCUAAUUAUGUCAUUGUUGGGGAAAUUAAGGCAAGGAGAAUAUGAAAGAGGAGAAGAAAGAGGAGGAGGAAGAGAAGAAGAAGAAAUAAAGAAGAAGGAGGAGAAGGAGGAGGAGGAGAAGAAGGACUAGAAGGUCCUUGGCCUUCUCCUCCUUCUCCUCCUCCUCCUUCUCCUUCUUCUCCUCCUCCUUCUUCUCCUUCUCCUUCUCUUCUCUUUCUCUUCUUCUUUUUGUUCUUCCUUUUCAUUUCUCCUCUUCUCCUCUUCUUGGAGCUAAAUUAGCUAACUAUGUCUUUGUGGAGCAAAAUGGGCUAAUUAUGUCAUUGUUGGAGAAAUUAAGGCAAGGAGAAUAUGAAAGAGGAGAAGAGAAACUUACCGUAGUGGUCAUCAAGGAGGAGAAACACCUGGAGAAGGGUCGUGCGAUGCCGCUCAGGAGUUAUUCUGCAGAAUAGAUAUUGCUCCUUCUUCAAAAACUUUCCGCGGCAAUCCUUCUUCUACUUCUUAAUACCACGCGUGGCGUAGUAGUCUCGAAUAGCCUGCGGCCGAGCCUCGUGGCGUAAUUUCUGUAGUAACCGCCUACACUCGGCCUCGAGAACCUUGGCCGCCUCCUCCUCAUAUCCAUCCUCACACCUAUAGAAGGUCUGCAAUCAAACGUGAAAACACCGAUUAGUACAAUAAUUAGCUAUAUUGUUAAUUUUAGAUUGUGUAAAAGGAUAAUUUACCCAAAAGCUCUUUAUCACCAUCUCGGCCCUCGUGUGGCACAAGACACCAUCUAUAAUCUCCUCCGGCGGGGCCUGCGUAGCCUAGUAGUGCUCCCAGGAAAAUCCUAGUGUAGGAACCUGACCCUCACCAGGCAACGUGACAAACCCCGGGAAAUUUGUCCGGCAAAGCACACCAAGGACGGAGUUCGGCCUGCGGACUCCAAGAGGGUGUACCCAUCCCCUGCAAUAUGAUAAGGUCAACGCAUUAGAUAUUUGAACAAACUUGAAGGCAAAAGCUAAAAAAAGAGUAAAUGUACUUACCAAUCUCCUUCAGGUUUAAUCAUCGGCCUCUGCUCGCGGGUAGCCGGCACGACCGGGAGACGUGUACUACCACGCUUGUACACGGUGUCCCCGUCCACCUGCACAUCGCCCUCAGUAUCCGUUAACUCAUCCCCGCCAUCCCCGCCCCCUGAGCCACCCGGACCCUCGGUCCAAUCCGGCAACUCGGUCCGAUCCGGCCAGGUAUCCCAUCCGGGCCUCUCCACGUCGGGUGAAGCCUCCGGAACCAUAGUCUCGUGGGCCGAAUGCACCUCGACACGAGGCUGAUCUUGGACCGGAGUCUCAUGGGACGAAUGCCCGUCAACACCAGGCUCCUGGACCGGAGUCCCCGUAGCCUCCUCCGCAAACGGGUCGACCAUAGUAGUCCUAUGCUCGAGUGAAUGAGCUGGUGGUGGUGACGAGGACGGCUCAACAGUCCUCCUGGAUCUUCCACGGCCACCACCUCUCCCUCUACCCUUUCCCUUCUUCCCUACCCGACCAACACCUCUCCCAGUGGGCAAUGCCGCCGACGAAGAAGAACCCACGAGUGGCGUCGACAGACUGUCUGCCAAGGCUCUACGGAGACAUAGGGGUGAAAGGGAAGUACCACCCCUCGUGCGGGGGCGGCUGGGAAGAACCCGUCGAGCGCUCUGGACCAGCGCCCACCAUCUUUCAACACCCGGUGACCGGCCAUGAUAAAGAUUAAAAGAAAUUGGUACAACAUAAAAAAAAUUGAAUAACUGACAUGAAUAAUAAUAUGUACAUGAAUAAUAAAGAUUAAAAUAUAUAUAAUUUAAGUUGUGAAUCUUAGAAACUAAUAAUCAUCAUCAAUAAAUGCAUCAUCAUCAUCACUAUCACGCAUGUCUUCAUGAAUGACGUGCUUGUCGGGUUCAAUGCCUUGAAGUUGUGAAAGGCCUUUCUUUAAUCGUUGAAGCAUUGACAGGUCAUCCGCAUCAGUAACCUCUACGAGUUCCAGGUCUUCUGGUUCCGGCUCAGGGGUGGAGUCGGAUUCAUUGUCGCUGUCUACUUCCAUGUUCUUGGGUGAAGCACGGCGGUUCUUGAAACGUUUCUUGGAAAGACGUGUUUCUUGGAAGAAUUCUCCAUCAUAUGUGUCUGGGUUAAUGUGAGGUUCAUAAUCCUGUUCAUUUGGGAGAGGUGGUCUGACAUGUGGCGGCACUUCGUAAACAACAUACCAACCUUCCAGAUUCUUAUCCGUUUGGCAUGCCCACGGUAGAUAGAAAACUUGGGUCGCCUGUUGAGCCGUAAUAUAGACAUCGAGAACAUCUAAAUGGGUGUUUGGAUUGAUUUUGACUAGUCCUAUAUGUUCAUGAGUCCUUCUAGUCUCCUUCGGCUGGAACCAAUAACAUUUGAAGACUACGACGUUCAGUGGGUUUUCACCAUAGAAUUGAAGUUCAUAAAUUGCUUCAACUCUUCCAUAAUACUCGAUAACACCUUCGCCGAUAGCAGAGACACCAUAAUUUGUAGAUUUCCGGUCGGGCAUAGAUAUCUCUUUGCCAAAGGUACGAAAGAGAUACCCAUUGAUGUUGUAUUUCUCAAAUGAACAGACCUUAUAGUCAAAACCAUUAGCGACUUCUCUCAAUUUGGCGUCCAUAGACUCUGAAUUAGCCUACAAGUUUAAUACGAAACGAUUGUUGCAUUAGCCGCAAGUUAGACCAAGAAAUGAAAUGGUCAAUUAUUGAUAAUUACCAUUUCUUUGAACCAAGAGAUGAAACCGGGAUAGCCGCCUCCUGUCUUUGACAGAAGCUCAUACUCUUCACCGCUCCAUCCGAGAAUUUGGCGACGUAACGGCUGUUUGAAAUAUCCGGGAAUAAGAGCAGUUCAAAUGAAUUAGAAGUUACGGGAAAAUGUGCCGAGAACUCACUCGAUGUACGGCCACACUUCUGUUAGGUUGUUGAAGAUAUACAACGAAAUGUUCCGCCAUUCUUCGACAUCCAACGUUGUUGGUUUCGAAGCACCGGCUGGUGCGAGCUUCGCUUUGAAUAGGCUGAGGUUGGACACACCUUUUUUAGGGUCUGCAUCCUUGUGCCGAGGCUUCGGAUUAUGCAAAUGAUGAUUUUUGGCUUCGUAGUGUGUUGUCACAAAGUUUGCCACCUCCUCAGUGAAUGCCUCAGCCAUCGAUGCUUCAAUUCUACGCUUAUUUUUACAUUUAGCUCGAAGGGUCUUCUGCAUCCUCUCAGUUGCAUAGCACCAACGAUCUUGCACGGGCCCACCCAAUCUUGCCUCGGUCGGUAGAUGUAAAAUCAAAUGCUGCAUUGGAUUAAAGAAGCCCGGUGGAAAGAUCUUCUCUAACUUGCACAACAACUCCGGGGCAAACUCCUCCAUGUCUUCUACCACGCCAGGCGACAAUUCUUUCGCACAAAGAACACGGAAGAAAUAGCUAAGCUCCGCCAGUACUAACCAUUCAUCCUCAGGAAUAAAGCCACGUAACAUCACCGGCAUUACCUGCUCUAGCCAUAUGUGCCAAUCAUGACUCUUGAGACCAAAGAUUUUUAAUUUUUCAAGACUCGCUCCCCUAUUUAGAUUCGCUGCAUACCCAUCGGGGAACAUCAAGUGCAUUUUGACCCACAAGAUAAUUUCCCUCAUAGCUGGCCUUCCAAGAUUGAACCAGGCCUUUGGCUUCGACCACUCCUGCUUUCCUUUGCCUUAUCGCAUGUUUUGUAACGGUCUAUGACAUAGUGUCUCUUGAUCGACUCUAGCCUUAGUAUUAUCCUUUGUCUUCCCAUCUAUGUCGAACAAUGUACCAAAAAUAGCCUCUCCGAUAUUCUUUUCAGUGUGCAUCAUGUCGAUAUUGUGUGGAAGAAGGAGGUCUUUGAAGUAGGGCAGAUCCCAGAAGCAUGGCUGGUGAGUCCAGGCGUGUUUUGAAUUAUACCCCUUGAAAUACCCUGGACGCUCUGGAUCAGGCUCGAAGGUGUUUAACUGAUCCAGGAUCUGUUGGCAUGUCAACGGAGGUGGUGCCAAGUUUUCGACAACUUUACCUUUGGUAAAGUUCUUCUUGUCUUUUCUGAACUGAUGGUCAGGAUCCAGGAACUGUCUAUGCAAGUCAAAGAAAAAAUACUUCCGACCCUCCUGUAACCAAUGAAACUGAAGAGCUGCCUUGCAUUGGGGGCACGGGAACCUUCCAUGCACACACCAUCCAUAGAAUCGUGCAUACGCCGGUAAGUCAUGCAUAGAGUACAUGUACCACACAUGCAUUUUGAAGUUUUGUUUUCUAGCGGCAUCGUCUGUCUUGACUCCAUUAUCCUAAGCGUCUUCCAAUUCAUCCUUAAGCGGCUGCAGGUACACAUUCAUAUUCUUCCCCGGAUAAUUGGGUCCUGGAAUUAUCAACGUCAGAAAUAUGUUCUUUCUUUGCAUAAGGGGGGGGGAGAUUGAGUGGAAUGACAAAUACAGGUCAACAACUAUAUUUGGUUGCCGUCAUGCCAAAGGGAUUAAAACCAUCCGUGGCGAUGCAAACUCGAGGAUUCCUUGGAUCUGCCGCUUUAUCCUGAUGCAAUCCAUCGAAAUGUUUCCACGCUUCCCCAUCCGAUGUGUGUACCACCAUCUUAUUCCCAUCCGCAUCUAGUUCGGUUCUUUUGCCCAAUUUGUGCCAUGUCAUCUGUCUGGUUGUCUCUUCGACCAUGAAAAGACGUUGAAGUCUUGGUACGAUUGGCAUAUACCGAAGAACACUAACUAUGAUUUUGGUCUGCCUCUUCUCACCCAUACCGUUGUCUACCACAAGAUACCCGCAAGACUCGCAAUUGGGACAAUAGUCCGAGUGUGCAUACUCCCUCCUAAAUAAGUCACAUCCUUUCUCACAUGCAUCUAUCUUCUCAUAGGGCAUCUUAAGUACACGAAGUAUUUUGUCCGACUGGUACAGGUUUGCAGGCAUGACAUGGCCUUUGGGUAGGAAGCGUCCAAAUAGUGUCAUCAUCGUGUCGUAGCAUUCUCUUCCCAAGUUGAACUGGGCCUUCAGAGCCAUUACUUGUGCAAUUGCAUCCAGCUGACAGAGCUCAGUGUGCUCAUCGAGAGGAUAUUUUGAAGACUCCAACAUUUCAUAAAAGGCCUUUGGAUAUUACUCCAUCUCAUCUUCCGAAUCCCGAGCAUCAUCAAAGUCUUGCACCAUGUCUUCGAUCCCGGUACCAUGCUCGUCUGUGCGACGACGGACCACCUCAGCUCUUGUGCGUUGUAUAGACUCACCAUAAAAUGUCCACACCGUAUAAUUAGGCUUAAAACCCCUCCUCUGCAGGUGUUUAAUCAUUACAGCCUCUGUCGUCUUUUUAUAGUUGUCGCAUCCAGGAUAGGGGCAAUAGUUUCAUUCCUGACCAUUUGCGAACGCGGCUUUCACAAAUUCCUUUGUUUUUACAAACCAUUCUUUCGUCAUCUCUUUGUGACUAGGGUGACCGGUAUACAUCCACGCACGAUCAUUCAUCUUGCCUAGCUACUAAAGACAGAAGAAAUAUAUUUAUAUAUAAUUUAGCAUUUAUAUUCAUCGGUUAAUCACGUUCGCCAUUUUUAUUACUUCCAGGCAACCUACACGCUAAUAGGUAAAGAUAGGUCCUAAUCCCACCCGAGUAUGUGUAGAUUGGGUUCGUUUUCCCAUGCUCUGCUCCGGAUCCAACGCAAAAUUUCGGCAGCACCUCCCCGCUGUUCUCCUAAUACACGUCUCCGCAAUAAACAGAGAGGAUGUGCAUCCAGAGAACAACAGGGAGGCACUGACGAAAUUCCGCAUCGGAUCUAGAGCAUAGCAUACGGGAAAACGAACCCAAUCUACACAUACUCGGGCUGUCCAUAGAUAAUGUUGGACAAUUCGAAAGGAUGACGGUUAUAAAUAUGCAAAGACAUGCAUAUUUAUAGAUGUCGCCCUUUCGAACGGGAGACGCAUACUGGUCACGCAUACUGAUAAAUUAAUUUAAUUACCUAAAUCUAGAAAGUUUCAUCCGGAAACCGAGCCGCAGUAAAUGAAGGGGCGGGGAUGAGAUGAAAUUUGUACUGACCCACGAAUGCAGGGGUGGAGCUCGUACAACGCACGGGGAGAUCUUUGCACAGCAAACCUCACAGCGACGAGACAACUAUCACAUGUAAAUCCACCCGAUCAACACAAAUAUUCUAAUUAUGUUAUUUUAGAGGAAAACAAGUUAAGAAUAUAAUAUUCAUGAGCUAACCAAGGUUUUUAUGCCAUUUUGUAGCUAAAUGGUCUAAUUAUCUCAUUGUUGGGGAAAAUAAGGUAAGGAGAAUAAGAUAGAGGAGAAUAAAGAGGAGGAGGAGGAGAAGAAGAAGAAAUCAAGAAGAAGGAGAAGGAGGAGGAGGAGAAGAAGGAGAAGGAGGAGAAGGUAUUCUUCUUCUCUUCUUCUCUUCUUCUUCUCUUCUUCUUUUCUUCUUCUUUUCUUCUUCUCCUUCUUAUUUUUGUCUUCUCCUCCUCUUCUUCUUCUUCUUCUUCUCCUCCUCCUCCUCCUCCUCCUCCUCCUCUUCUCGUCUUCUCCUCCUCCUCCUCUUCUUCUUCUUCCUAUUCUUUCUAUUAAGCUAACUAACUAACUAACCUAACUAACCAAGCUAACUAAACCUAUUGCUAAACCUAGAUAGCACUAAACAGCAAAAAAAUAACAAAAACAGAAUCUAUCACUAAGUAACUCAAAAAGAAUCUAGCUAACUAACCAAGCUAACUAACUUCUCCUUCUUAUUUUUUUCUUAUUCUCUUCUUCUCUUCUUCUUUACUUCUUCUCCUUCUUCUUUUUUCUUCUCUUCUUCUUGUUGUUCUUCUUCUUCUUCUCCUUCUUAUUUUUUUCUUCUCCUCUUCUCCUCUUCUUCUUCUUCUUCUUCUUCUUCUUCUUCUUCUUUUUCUCCUCCUCCUCCUCCUCCUCCUCCUCCUCUUCUUCUCCUCUUCUCGUCCUCCUCCUCCUCCUCUUCUCCUCUUCUCCUCCUCCACCUAACUAACCAAGCUAACUAACUAACCUAACUAAUUUAACAAGAUACCACUAAUUAACAAAACAAAAUCUACCACUAAACAACCUACUAAAUCUACCAACUAACUAAAUCUACCACUAAAACUACUNGGGCGACAGGGGCGGCGGUGGGGGCGACAGGGGCGGCGGCGAGGGCGACAGGGGCGGCGGCGCGACGCUGUUGGCGGCGGUGGGCGUCGGGGAUUGGGAGAGAGAGAGAGAGGGGGGGGCGCGCGGGGUGAGCUGUUACACAGUGUGGGUGAGAGAGAGAGAGGGGCUGGUGGGGGGAAGGAGCCGUUAACGGAGUUAGCUCUUUGUCGUCUGCCGUCUGCCUCCGGACUCUUUGCCAUCCGCUAGGAGAUGGAAAAGAAGGGACUCCAGUUUGACCUAACCACCACGGGGUCAGGUGGGUCCAUCUACAUGUUUGUUGUCUGCUGUGAGACUCUUUGUGGUCUGCUAGCUGACGGCAAAGAUGUGACUGAUGACAAAAAUACUCUAUGCCAUCAGCCAGUGCUUUGCCGUCUACUUUGUGGAAGCUGACGGCAAAGACACUCUUUGCCAUCAGCUAGCAGACGGGAAAGAUUAGGCAGAUGGCAAAAAACUGUUUUCCAGUAGUGAUAGAGCUAUCACGUGGACCCGCACUUCGGACGUUGUUCAGCACCACCACCACCAGCAGUUGCGUCCCUCCACGCAACGACAUCAAUCACGUCCACGCUUAUCACAGCAGACGGGACCCAAUCCACCCCUCGUGACCAGGCUGGCAGUUCAAGGUGGCAACACCCACAGCAGCAUGCUUCCUCGUCCAGCUUCGUGUUUCGGCCUCCACCACAACAACAAAGUCCCACACCGGGUUUCAUUUUCAACCACAUCCAGCUCGUAUGUGUCUUUAUAUUUAUUAUUUUGAAUAUUAAUUAAGACCAUAUAUUUAUUCAGUAUAUAUGUUCCCUCCCGCAGGAUCGUACGCAUAUCAGGAGGCGUCGGCGUCUGGAUCCAGAUGGGGUAGUGAAUACGGAGAUCCACUAUCCCAGCACAACACCUAGAUGAACAUGUUUCGACUCCUCCACCAGGACCCACACAGGAUACAAAGUAUAACCAUGACGAGUAUUAGAUUCCUUGUCGUCACAUUAGGCCACCCCACGGGUGGGGAUGGAGUACGCCUAGAACACGCUUGAGCGCUUAGGCAGACGUCGUCAUUGACGCUUCUAUCUAAUAACACAGACAUAACUAUCCAAUUAUGUAUGAUACAUGUGUCUAUUCUAUGUAUAAGACAAAAUAACACCUAGUUAUGUGUGAGACAUCGUCAGAAAAUCUUAGUUACGUAAAAUAAUGAAUGCACCUAUCGGCUUUGCCAACACCAAUUAGUGCUAAUUAAUCACUAGUUAGCCAUAGUACUAAUCGGUCACAACUAAGCCGAUAAGUCCUAAAUGACUAUUGGUAAGCCGACUCGAAGCAGCUUAGGAUGACCAACAGGCCUAUGGGCCCAGACAGGGCCGACAUGACCUAAUCGGCUUCGGCCAGGCCGACAUGAUUCAGUCAGCUUUCCUAGGCCGACGGUGUGUUAUUUUUCAAAAAAAUAAAAUCUACACAAUAUUUUUCAAAAUUAAAAAAGAAAAUAUUAUUUCAAAAAAUUAGCUUGUUUCUCUAUCUCUAUGUUAUGAAAAGACAAGGUCAAGGUCAAAUGACAUCUGACACAAGCACUAACAACUACUAUCACUUCUUUCAAGGUGUUAUUUCCGUGUCCUUUCUAUUCUGACCAAGACAAACAUACUAUAGUAAUCUUAGAGCAUCUACAUCCGAACACCUCAAAUGAUCUUUUAUACAUCUACGAACACGUCCGGUUAUUAACCGCAUAGGAGAGAGAAGAAAAAAAGUGAACCAACCGGACUCUUCAUAUCAUCCCUAUAUGUCCGCGCUGUCUGCGAACCCUCAUAUCCAUCUUAAAUAUGAGGAGGAUAUGAGGGUUAACGGACGUGUCCGGUCAGUCCGCCACAUAGGACGCGACCCCAUAUCGGACCACCUUUUUUUUCUUUAUUCAUUCUUUUCUCUCUCUCUCUCUUCCUCUUCAUCAAAUAUGAGAAAGAAAAUGAGGAGUGUGGCUGCAAGGACGAACAAAUUGAGUACACAUCCGAUCACUGACCGGCUAUAGAUGCUCUUAUGGAGAUUCUCAUAUCAUCGGUCUUAGGCUAACUCUAGCCUAUUCCCUAAGAAUAAGGAAGCAAAGUUAACUAGGUGGAGGACUUUUACUCUACUAAGUUUUAGUCGAACUUAGCUGAACUCCUAAAUUUAGGGGACUAAAAAGCAAAUUCUUGUAAGUUCAACAUAGAUUCGACCGAAACAAAUUUCUAAGGCACAUCUGUCGAAACAUAAUCAAGUUCAAACUUAAACAUAAACUAAAUCCCGUAGUCGCUAUCCAACUUUGCGAACUAGAGUCAAUCGGCCCUAGACAUGCCACCGCCUCGGGCCUUGUGAUGUCGUGGUCGCAACCGGGGAAGAGCCGGCGCCACUCUUCGAUGUCGAAGUCGUCAUUGUUGCCACUGAUUUCGUUGUCACCUCCUCUGCCACCGUCGUCCUCCUUGGCCGCACCACCUGUGAAGAGCUUGCGCUCCACCUCCACCAACUGGGAUACAUAUGGCGGAUGUCCAUCUUGUAUGCCUCGUUUGCGAGCUCCGCCACAAGCCGGUCCCUCGUCUCCCAAUACUCCCUUGCGGUCGUUGUAGUCACCACCCUCGACGGCGGCGGGUCAUUGAGCGGUGAUAUCUCACUGCCUCACUAGGAGUUUAGUCAGGCAUUGACGCCGUGAAACUGACCUGCCGGCGAUCGAACUCACGGGUGGGCGAGCUCGCCAAUGUGGAAUAUUUCUUCUAGGUAUCCCAGUCGGUGAUCUCAGCCACCCAUGCCCCCCACCCACGGUACCAAAUGUCGAGGUACUUACCGUAUGUCUGUCGCGGUGCAGGGAGAUCGGGGAAGCGAGCGAGCCAACGGGAGGGGUUCGUAGCAUCGCGGCGAUGACAGCUUGAGGACGUGCAUGUGGAGGCACGGAUAUGCACUGCGGAGGGGAGGCGGGGCCAGCGGCCAUAGGAUCCGGCCAUUGGAGAGGAGGGAGCGACGGGGGACGGCGUGGGAUUGGAAAGGAGAGGUAAAGGAGGAGGAAGAUUUUUUUUAUUCCGUCGCCGAGCAAUGGAGUAAAUAUAGAUGACGGAUACGUGAUGAAGUAAAACUUUUACUCUUGUAUGAGUUUUAGGGGUUCGACGGUCCCGGGUAAAGGAGUAAAACCGAAUUUUCACCCCUCUAACUGAUUUUAAGGAUCGACUAGACUUGGCCUCACAUUGACAUAAGUGCGUAUACUUACAUACACGGCAUCGUCCUAUUCUGUGUUCUCUUUUGGACGCGAACUCGUGCAUAUCAUGUGGAUUUAUAUAUCAUCAAUCAUUGUUUCAUAUCCACUUGAUGAGUUAGGUACGUAAUUAAGUUGGUUGUUGUGAACAUCGAGGCAAUAUUACUUAUCACAUCUCUUUCACACACACUCUAAAUGGAGCGGUAAAUUUUUGUUUGGCUGGUUGUAUAAUAUAUGAUAGUAGUAUAUGAUACCAUAUCUGUAACGCAUAGUAUCAUAUGUUAUUAUCAUAGGAUAGUUUAUUUAUUAUCAUGCAAGACACAUAAUAGUAUAUUAUUUAAUAUGAUACGGUAUUAUGAUACUCAACCCUCUUUUUCUACAUUUAAUUUUAUAUCACCUCAUUGAAGUUGCCUAAUUAACAUGCAUAAUACUAAUCUUAAGUGUUUCCAUGUAAAUAUUCAGACUUGUAACUAGGUCUUUCUGGUUGACCAAGAUACACGUUCCCCUCCAAAAGAGAACUGAGAAUGAUCAACUCCGUUGGGUCGGUCGCUUAUUUUCAGUACAUGUUCCUAUAAAUCCACACGAUAUGCACAUCCAGAAGAUACUGCAAAUUGACGGGAGCUUUGUCUACUCUAUAGUUGGGUCGGUUGCCUAUGCUCAAAGUGUGAGAACUCUAAUAGAGAAAGAAUUUCAGUUUUAACUAGUCUUUCUGCUAUUCUCCCCUUUGAAAUAUGGUCCAAGCCACAGUGUCAUAAUUUCGAUGAUUCAUGAGUUCUCUUUUUUGUUAUUUAUCCGACACGGAAACAUGCUCAUUCAUAUUACACACAGAAUACACUUUUUCAUGCAGUGAAAAUAAAUAAAGCUUAUUGUAAAGUAAAGCAUAACCCACAUAAGCAUUAUUAAACCAUAUGACACAUUUGCCAUGGUCAAAAUAACAUUCAUAAUGAUCUUUAUCCAAACAUGAAACACUAUCAAGUUUUUGUGACAUGAAAGAAUAUAUAAAAACAUCUCUAAGUAGAAGCGUGAAUCCAUCAUCUAACUCCAGGGAGAUGUUGCCGACAGCUUCAACUUCUGCUUGAACUUCAUUUGCAACUUCAAUACUUUUUUCGCUUCUCUGCACAGUCUGUAUUGAAUGGAAUCCGUGUAACCAAUUUGCAACAUGAACAGUUGCAUCUGAGUCAAUCCAUCAAGGAGAUUUCAAAAACUGUGUAUAGAAGGAUUUAUUUACAAAGGAAACAGUGUUGUUACCUUUCUUUCUCAUUAUUGACUUUAGCCAAUUAGGGCAAUCUUUCUUGUAAUGUCCAGUAUUCUUACAAUGAAGACAUGUAUCGUUGUCCAUUGGUAAAGGCUUCUGCUAAUGUUGAUAUUGUGUGGGAGCUUUUCCAUGUGCCUUUGAAGGGGGACCAUUGUUAUUUUGAUUGUAGUUCCUUUUCUUGUUAUCCUUCAUAUAGUUCAGAGAACCAUCAUGUGAGGUUUUAAGUCUUUCCUCUUCUUGAACACACAUGGAUAUAGUCUUUUCAUUGUCCAUUUUUCAGGCGAUGUGUUGUAGUUGACAACAGAAGUGUCAAACUCUUUUGACGGUGAAGCCAUAACCAGGUGAACAAGGGGCGCACAUGUUUGAGCUCCAAGUCCGAAUCCAUGGGUUUAAGCUUAGCUGUCGUGUUGCUCAUCCUAAGAAUGUGUUCUCUUAUGCCAUGUCCACCGUCUGUGUACUUUUCUGUCACCGAUUGUUUUAGCAACUGACUAGCGUAUAUAUUUGAAGAACUAGUGAACUAGCUCUUUAUCUUUUCAAGAAACUCCCCUAUGGAAGUACACUCUGCAAUUGAGCCCAUAAUAUGUUCUCAAUUGUUUUCUUUAUGAAAGCCAUGCAAUUUUUGUUGGCCGUGAGCCACUUUUGGUUUUGGAGGGUAUAUGACAUCUCCACUGGAGCAUAAUUCCUUCUCUUUUUGUCCCAAGCAGCAUCAUCAUCAUUUGCAUCUCUUACUGGCCCUGUUGGUCUAACCGGCUGUGGAGUGUCCACAACCCAAUCCACCUCAGCACAAACGAAAGCCAAGUCGACCUUUAUUCUCCAUUCAGUGUAGUUGUCACCUAUGAGGGUUGGAACAUCCUUGAUGCAACUCAUCAAGUAGUACCCUCCUAAAAACCAUAAUGAAGUGAGAUCAUAACAUAAGUUGCAUGCAAUAAUCCAACGUUGGUCAAAAUUAAAACAUACAACUAUUUGUGCAAUUAAAAUUAUAUCAUUGUUAAACACAAAAUAGAAAUAAAUGCAUAUAUAACAACAAUAAAUCAUGGUUAUGUUAUUAACAACGUUGGUCAUAAAAAUAACAUAAUCAUAAUUGUUUCAGUAAUCACUUUAACAUGCUCUUAAAAUUUAAUUCUCACUUUAGUUUUAUUUACUUUUAAAAGAGCACUUUUAUUUUAUUUGCAGCGGAAAACAUGAAUAAUAAUUCACCAACUUUAUACUUUUCAGAAGCAGUUCUUUUACUUUUCUAUUUUUCAAAACAAAAUUUUCGUUGGAUAAUUUUGAAUAGAAAAACUAUAUUAAAUUUGCUGAAAAAAUGGACAAAAACAGAUUAAAACGCGGCCAGUGCGAUGCUCUUCGGGCCGAAACCGGCCCGACCACCCAACGCGCGCGCCUGUGGUCCUGGCCUGCCCUUCACGCGCCUCGGCCUGCGGUGAGCUCAUGCGUCCUAUUACACUCUCGGCAUGGAACGUACGCAGCGCUGGCGUGGCCCAUGGCCCACUGGGCGCAGCUUCUGCUCUCCCCUGCAUCGUCCGAUGUGAUCCGACGGCCACGCGCGCAGUUCACGCGAACAAAACUAGUGCCUGUCGCGGUCGAGGUGGGAACCCUAGUUCCCCCCACCCCCACCCCCCGUGGGCCCCGCUCAUCCUCUCGCUCCAGAGCGGCGGAUCUCACUAGCAGUCUCGUCGUGCCUCCGGCAAGCCGACGCGGCGUCGGACGCCAGCAUGCCACGCGAGCCACCUCUUCUUCCCCCUCCUUGCUUUCUUCAUCCAUCGCCUCCUGUAGCAGAGAGAAGGAGGCGCAGCUGCGUGCCUCCCCCUAUGCUUCCGUGUAGUAGACGACGGUGGAGCACCCGACGGUGGCGUCGUUGCAAUCCCCUUCACCGGUUGCGUGUUACCCUUUUGGUGACCGCGGCACCGUCGAGUGGUUUGGCAAACAGUGCCCUUUGCCCCUGCCGGGGUUUGUUCUUCUUCCCAAUGCCUCGCUUGUCGAUGCGCAUCGGGAUAAAGAGGAACGGCGCGACUCAGCGGCGGCGCUCUUUGUCGGCGAGCCCAAGGCACUUCCCCGGUGAGAGAAAAAAUAUUUGCCCCUUUCUGUCAUUAGUGUUCUACGGGAGGGGAAAAACUUUGAUUUCUCUACUACCAAAAAUCCUAAACGCUGGCUAACAUCAUUGAUAGAUCCUUCGGAUCAGGUAGGCUAGAGAUUAAGCGGUAGCUCCCAUCAUAUGUGUGUCUUUGAUAGGUACUUGUCUAGGCAUUUGGGAGAGAGAGAGAUGGAAGGAGGAGGGUUACCUUCUCCUUGGCUCGAUGAGCCCGACAAGAUGGCCAUGGAGGAGGGCGACGGUGACGGCGUUGAGUGGGCAGUGGCGGCGCUGCUUUCUGUCACUACUGCGUUGACCUAGAUCGGUAGGUGUGUCGGUGGGGUGUACGGCAACGCGACGAAUCUUAUAUUACGUGCCGUCGGCUCCCACCUUCUUAUAUAGCGCAGAUGACAGGAGGGCCAUCAACCAUUAGUGGGUUGAGCGUUCUCGGUCAGGAUGCAGAUCUAAGGGCCCGGUAGGCCGUUGGGCCCACUAGGAAGGAGAUCAUCCUAAUAAUGUGAUCUACAUAUAUUUCUCCUAUAUAAAAAUGAGCUAAGUACCCCGAAAAAAACAAAAAAACUAGUACCGCUGAAAUGAAGAAGGAGCUAUACAGUAUAGACUACCCGGCAUAUCAUGCACCUGCGAUUGCUAAGUCAGCUGGCCCGUUCGAUGGGUUAACUGCCGUACUUUUUUUUUACCGCUGGCAGCUGCUCAGCCGUCAAUCCAUGUUUCACAUACAUGGCUUCUUGGGAAGGAGGUGUUAAUUAAAUCAGUUGCUCAAGCGGUGUCGGUUUUCUUCAUGUCUUGUUUCAAACUCCCCGAGGACUAUGCGAGCAUAUAAACUCUAUGAUCCGAAAGUUCUAGUGGGGCAGUAAGGCGGGACAACGGAAACCAAGCUGGGUCUCUUGAAGUGUGUUUACACGACCAAAAUAUUGUGGAGGACAACGGUUCAGAGCUAUUGAACUCUUUAACCUAGCCCUUCUGGCCCGACAAGCUUGGAGAGUGUUGAAGGAACCGAAAUCUCUUAGCGCACGUGUUUUAAAAGCAAAGUACCAUACUGCAUGUGAUUUCCUAAAUGCUGAUUUAGGGGCGGCACCAUCUCAGAUUUGGAGAUCCCUACUAAAGGGGUGCGAUGUGUUGGUACAGGGACUUAUCACGCGAAUUGGAGAUGGACUCACAACCCGGAUAUGGGAGCAGAAUUGGUUGAUGAGGGCUUCCAACAUGAGACCAAUCGCUUGUAGGGCUCCAAAUGCACCUGUUUAUGUAGGUGAAUUAAUACUGCCCGGAGCGGACUUGGAUUCGAACACCAUUGAAGAGGUUUUCAUUCCCAUUGAUGAUGCAGCAAUCCUCUCGAUAGCAUUAAGCACAGACAUAUGAAAGAUUUCUGGUCUUGGGUUCAUGAAAAGAAUGGGGUCUUCACAGUUCAUUCGGCAUACCGCAUGCUGAUCGACACACAGAUGAGACAGGAAGCCUGGCUGGAAGGGUGGUCAGAAUCAUCAAACACAGAAUUGAAGCAAAAGGAGUGGAGCAGGUUAUGGAAAAUAAGCAUUCCUUCCAAGGUUAAAAUCCAUUAUGACGUCUUGCAAAACUCUCCAUCCCGACUUCGGAUGUGUUGCACGACCGGAAUAUGUCUACGACCAAGUGUUGUGGGCUUUGUGGAGCUGAGGGUUCAUGGCAGCAUUUUCUCCUCCAUUGCACGGUGGUGCGAUGUGUGUGGGCACUCCAAGACCCGGAUCUAGUCGAAGCGGUAACUAGUGUCACAGAGCCGGAUGUGAAGAGAUGGAUUUUUGCUCUCCUGGAUAUCUUAAGGGCCAGUUCUUUUCGUAGCUUAUAGAAUAAGCUGAAAUAAGCUGCCCCCUAUCCAGCUUAUUCUAGAAGCCCAAUCAAAUAUAUAUUUUUAGAAACCUAUUAAUUAAGUCUUGAUUACUAGGAUUCUAGAAAAAUAUUUUUAGUUGGGCUUCUAGAAUAAGCUGGGUAGGGAGCAGCUUAUUCUAAAAGCCCAAAAAAGCUGCCAAAAGAACUGGCCCUAAACUCAGAUGAGUUCACCCAGGUUAUUGUUACCCUAUGGUCGGUAUGGUAUGCAAAAUGGCAGGCGCUUCACAAGCAUAUUUUCCAGUCGCCGCAACAGACGCACAAUUUCACAUUGAAGUAUUUGUGUGAGUUGAAGGAAUGCAAACCAGGACAUCACAGGGGGCACAGGUGCCGCGCCAGGUGCAACAAGGUUGGGUUCCUCCCCAAGGUAUUGUGAAGAUCCGGGUUGAUGGUGCGGUCGCACGAAAUUGGUUCGAAGGUUCCUUCGGUGCCGUUUACAUAGAACACUGCGGGCGUGUUCUUGGGUGCUUCAACUAUCCGGUGUAGGGGUAUUACUGAUCCAGCCACCCUGGAAGCAUUUGCGUGUCGCUAAGCACUUGCGCUCGGUACGGACCUUGGGGUAUUGCAUGUGAUAGUGGCAUCGGACUGCAAGAGUGUUGUGCUUGACAUAAAAAACAGCACCGGAGGCGUAUACGCGAUCGUUAUCAGAGAGCUAUUGAAGACGUCCAGAAAUUUCCAAUAGUGCUCCUUCAUCUUUGAAGGAAGAGAGUUUAAUGUCGAGGCAUAUAGCCUUUCUAAACAUGCUUUUGGUCUGAAUUACGGGCGCCAUGUGCGGCCCGUAAACCCGUCAGACCUACAUUGUAUCCCCAUGAACUUGUUCAUCCAAUGAGUAUAAAGUAUGUUUAGAUUCAAAAAAACACACAUGGCUUCUUCACUGAUGCAUGUCAAGUGGGUCUCGUUAGGCAUGGGGCGAGAUAAUGAGGUUCUCUUCGUUUCAUAUACACGAAGUGAGAUGUAUGAGGUGGAUCAUGUUGCGCUCGGGGAAAACCCUCUCUAGAAACAGAAUUUCGACACGCUUCAUAGAUAAAACAACUAACAACAUAACAGAGUACACGAUCGAACGAUACAGCGAUAAGGAUACCUUCUUAUAAAGCAGAUCGAAAGAUACAACAAUAAUCUAGAACAAACGAACAACUCGUCAAGACCCGACCGAAGACUCCUGAACUCCACGACAAUGUCCCCAAGAAGGUGAUGGCGCAAAGCGUCGCCGUUGUCGAGUCCAAGAAGACAUAGGUUUUCACCCGGAGCCCUGACAUAACGAAACCCAUGACGAUGGCUCCAAAAAGCACGUGACACCCACAAACACCGCUGCCGGCGGCAUCAUAUAGCGCGAAUCUUUCGCUCGAACACUCGCGAGCACCACCAGAAGGGGUCCGGAUCACCGUCUCCAACUCUCCAUGAUGACCAGCCAUCCUUGCCAGAUCCGGGCACUCCCAGAGCCUCCCACUACUCUACCCCUUGCCGCUCAUAUGACCAAGAAGUAGGGUCACCACCGUUACCACGGAGCCUGACGGGAAGCCAACCAUGAGGCCCACCAUCUGAGACUGCCGCCUCGGCAUCCAUGACCCGAGACACCACCGGCCAUCCACAUCACGACCCCGUCACGGUAGUAGGAGUGAAAGGGAUCAUCUUUCAAUGAAUGAAUGAACACAUGACUCUAUAUACAUAUGUGAUUUUGUUGGAAAAAAAGGAGGUUAGACCUCUAACAUCUGCAUCAAAUGAUUGCAUACGACCGACAUGCAUAUGUGAUCGAUCAAUGAAUUAUGUCAACACUACAUGUAUCCAGAAGAAUGCCAAGAAGAGAGAUCGAUGGUCAGGCCAUCAUCAUGACCCGGAACUCAUCGAACGAGAGCUUGCCGUCGCCGUCGAGGUCAAAUCUGCAGAUCAUUGCCCGGCACUCCUCCACGCCCAGCUCGUGCGACCCUAGCCUGCUCAGCGUCCGCCUCAAGCUCGCCGGCGUAAUCAUCGUCGCCGUGUCUUCCGCGGAAGACGACGCGUACAUCCCGAACGCCUCCCU